rnacentral:lncRNA from 1 species
CUCUCUGGCCUCCAAGGUGAACCCAACUCCCCAGCGCGCCCCGGGUUCCCGGGUCGGGCCGGCUUCAGGCGGUGGGGAGCGGGAUCCCGGGCCCCGGGCGGGCGGGAGGGACGGGACGCGGUGCAGUGUUGUUUUUUCCCCCGCCAAUAUUGCACUCGUCCCGGCCUCCGGCCCCCCCGGCCCCCCGGCCUCCCCGCUACCCCUAGCGGGGCAGCCCCCGCCCUCCUGGCUCUCCAUCCCGGCGGAUCUUUGAUAGACUGGAGUGUCGCCGCUGCCACCGUGCUUGUGUCCGUGGUGAGAAGGGUGAUGGAGAGAAGUGGCUGCAGUUCCCACCCAUGGAGAGGUCACUGGUGAAUCCCAGCUAAAGAGGAAGGACAGGCCCGGCCUGAGUCCCACAGGCUUACCAUCUGAGUCCUUCUGAUUGGGAUUGGGUACCAGGCGGCAGUUAUCGGGACCAGGAGGCACAUAAUCUGGGAUGCCAUCAUUGUCAUCAUCCCCAUCACACUCAUCUCCAAGUCCAUCGUUAUCAGAGUCCAGCUGGGAGCUAUUUGGCAGCUGUGGGCAGUUGUCCUUGGUGUCCUGAUGCCCAUCCCCAUCGCUAAUCAGAAGAACAGAUCACACCCUUGUGAUGGACAAACUGCUCAGUACAGUCCCACCCACCCAGCCUCCUUGUCCUGGGCACGAGGUUUUUGCCUCCCUGAUUUGGAGUAUUUGGCCCUUACUAGAGAGCUGCCAGAUGAGGGACAUUUCCUUCACCUGGAGAAGGAUGGGGAGGAGUCAGCACUUGACAUCUGCCACCCUACCCCAGAAUCAGUGCCACCCUUCGCCAGCCCACCCAAACCUGGUCUCGUAUAUCAUCCCGCAGCUCCACCAGGAUCUGGUUGAAGAGGAACUCAGAGGCUCCUCCCGGCUCACCUGCAUCCUCAAAUACGCCUUCUGUCCAGUCCUAAUCUCCAGCCCAUCGACCUCCGCUGGAGGAAUGGGGGCCAGUGCUGGAAGGCCUGCAUGUUGGUCACCCAGUUUGCAGUCCACGUAGAGAUGUAGGGCAGGGCUGGGUCUGGAGGGACCUCGGAGUCGCAGGAGAACUGUGUGUGUGCGCCCAUCAGCCAGGCCCGCUUGCUGUAGGUUCACGGCGUGGACUUUGCCAUCCUCCCGCUGGUAUCGCACCAGUACUGCCCAGGAGGGGAGAUCAGUAUGGGCGCUAUCCCCCACCCCCUGCCUCCCAGCUGAGCCUUGGAUCAACUCUGCUAGAUACCACAUCUCUAGGGCCCCUAUCCCUAAUUCUACUAUGUGGCUCUCAACACCUUGUAUUUAAUAGGUACACAAUAAAUGUUUUUGAAAUUGC